rnacentral:rRNA from 1 species
GAUGAACGCUGGCGGCGUGCCUAAUACAUGCAAGUCGAGCGAACAGACGAGGAGCUUGCUCCUCUGACGUUAGCGGCGGACGGGUGAGUAACACGUGGAUAACCUACCUAUAAGACUGGGAUAACUUCGGGAAACCGGAGCUAAUACCGGAUAAUAUAUUGAACCGCAUGGUUCAAUAGUGAAAGACGGUUUUGCUGUCACUUAUAGAUGGAUCCGCGCCGCAUUAGCUAGUUGGUAAGGUAACGGCUUACCAAGGCGACGAUGCGUAGCCGACCUGAGAGGGUGAUCGGCCACACUUGAACUGAGACACGGUCCAGACUCCUAAGGGAGGCAGCAGUAGGGAAUCUUCCGCAAUGGGCGAAAGCCUGAAGGAGCAAAGCCGCGUGAGUGAUGAAGGUUUUCGGAUCGUAAAACUCUGUUAUUAGGGAAGAACAAAUGUUUAAAUAACUAUGCACGUCUUGACGGUACCUAAUCAGAAAGCCACGGCUAACUACGUG